GGUCAUGUGGAAAGACUGGAGAUCUACAGCAGAUAAGCAUGGCAAUUCAGAUCUUGGACUCCAAAAGUGAUUUGCAGAAGACAUCUUGGAAUGCAUGGGGCUGGAUUUUCUGACGGUUACUGCUCGCAUCUCUGCCUCCUGAACAGAAAUGCCUUGCUGAAUGUUGAAUGACCAUCAACUCAACCUUGCCAAGACAGAACUGCUCAUGUUUUCAGCCAUCCCAACCUUGGUGUUACAGUGGACACAUGAACUUCACUGACCACAUUGCAGUGGCCCGAUCCUGCAGAUUUGCCCUUAUGGGGCAUGCAACAGAACUGCUUGUCCAAGCUCUUAUUUUCUCUCCAUUCACAUCACAUCACAAAGAGGUACAAAUUCACUUUCACAGACCUUUAC